rnacentral:rRNA from 1 species
ACGAACGCUGGCGGCACGCUUAACACAUGCAAGUCGAACGAGAGAAGAGGAGCUUGCUUUUCUGAUCUAGUGGCGGACGGGUGAGUAACACGUGAGCAAUCUGCCUUUCAGAGGGGGAUACCGAUUGGAAACGAUCGUUAAUACCGCAUAACAUAAUUGAACCGCAUGAUUUGAUUAUCAAAGAUUUAUCGCUGAAAGAUGAGCUCGCGUCUGAUUAGCUAGUUGGUAAGGUAACGGCUUACCAAGGCGACGAUCAGUAGCCGGACUGAGAGGUUGAUCGGCCACAUUGGGACUGAGACACGGCCCAGACUCCUACGGGAGGCAGCAGUGGGGAAUAUUGCACAAUGGAGGAAACUCUGAUGCAGCGAUGCCGCGUGAGGGAAGAAGGUUUUAGGAUUGUAAACCUCUGUCUUCAGGGACGAAAAAUGACGGUACCUGAGGAGGAAGCUCCGGCUAACUACGUGCCAGCAGCCGCGGUAAUACGUAGGGAGCGAGCGUUGUCCGGAAUUACUGGGUGUAAAGGGAGCGUAGGCGGGAUCGCAAGUCAGAUGUGAAAACUAUGGGCUUAACCCAUAAACUGCAUUUGAAACUGUGGUUCUUGAGUGAAGUAGAGGUAAGCGGAAUUCCUAGUGUAGCGGUGAAAUGCGUAGAUAUUAGGAGGAACAUCAGUGGCGAAGGCGGCUUACUGGGCUUUAACUGACGCUGAGGCUCGAAAGCGUGGGGAGCAAACAGGAUUAGAUACCCUGGUAGUCCACGCCGUAAACGAUGAUUACAAGGUGUGGGGGGACUGACCCCUUCCGUGCCGCAGCAAACGCAAUAAGUAAUCCACCUGGGGAGUACGACCGCAAGGUUGAAACUCAAAGGAAUUGACGGGGGCCCGCACAAGCAGUGGAGUAUGUGGAUUAAUUCGAAGCAACGCGAAGAACCUUACCAGGUCUUGACAUCGUAUGCAUAGCUCAGAGAUGAGUGAAAUCUCUUCGGAGACAUAUAGACAGGUGGUGCAUGGUUGUCGUCAGCUCGUGUCGUGAGAUGUUGGGUUAAGUCCCGCAACGAGCGCAACCCUUACUGUUAGUUGCUACGCAAGAGCACUCUAGCAGGACUGCCGUUGACAAAACGGAGGAAGGUGGGGAUGACGUCAAAUCAUCAUGCCCCUUAUGACCUGGGCCUCACACGUACUACAAUGGCUGUCAACAGAGGGAAGCAAAGCCGCGAGGUGGAGCAAACCCCUAAAAGCAGUCUUAGUUCGGAUUGUAGGCUGCAACCCGCCUACAUGAAGUCGGAAUUGCUAGUAAUCGCAGAUCAGCAUGCUGCGGUGAAUACGUUCCCGGGCCUUGUACACACCGCCCGUCACGCCAUGGGAGUCGGUAACACCCGAAGCCUGUAGUCUAACCGCAAGGAGGACGCAGUCGAAGGUGGGAUUGAUGACUGGGGUG